AGUGAACGCUGGCGGUAGGCCUAACACAUGCAAGUCGAACGGCAGCACAGUAAGAGCUUGCUCUUACGGGUGGCGAGUGGCGGACGGGUGAGGAAUACAUCGGAAUCUACUUUUUCGUGGGGGUUAACGUAGGGAAACUUACGCUAAUACCGCAUACGACCUACGGGUGAAAGCAGGGGAUCUUCGGACCUUGCGCGAUUGAAUGAGCCGAUGUCGGAUUAGCUAGUUGGCGGGGUAAAGGCCCACCAAGGCGACGAUCCGUAGCUGGUCUGAGAGGAUGAUCGGCCACACUGGAAGUGAGACACGGUCCAGACUCCUACGGGAGGCAGCAGUGGGGAAUAUUGGACAAUGGGCGCAAGCCUGAUCCAGCCAUACCGCGUGGGUGAAGAAGGCCUUCGGGUUGUAAAGCCCUUUUGUUGGGAAAGAAAAGCAGCAGGUUAAUACCCCGCUGUUCUGACGGUACCCAAAGAAUAAGCACCGGCUAACUUCGUG
rnacentral:rRNA from 1 species